rnacentral:rRNA from 1 species
CAGUGGGGAAUCUUGCACAAUGGAGGAAACUCUGAUGCAGCGAUGCCGCGUGAGUGAAGAAGGCCUUUGGGUUGUAAAGCUCUUUUGUAGGGGAAGAUAAUGACUGUACCCUAAGAAUAAGGUCCGGCUAACUUCGUGCCAGCAGCCGCGGUAAUACGAAGGGACCUAGCGUAGUUCGGAAUUACUGGGCGUAAAGCGCGCGUAGGCCGUUGAGUUAGUUAAUUGUGAAAUCCCAAAGCUUAACUUUGGAACUGCAAUUAAAACCUGCUCGACUAGAGUUUGAUAGAGGAAAGCGGAAUACAUAGUGUAGAGGUGAAAUUCGUAGAUAUUAUGUAGAACACCAGUUGCGAAGGCGGCUUUCUGGAUCAACACUGACGCUGAGGCGCGAAAGUAUGGGUAGCAAAGAGGAUUAGAUACCCCCGUAGUCCG